UUAUGAUAAAAAAACACUGCAGACACAAGAGUAAAGAAUGUAAUGAAAAUAAGAUAAUGCUUAUCUCAGAUCCCAUGUACUCUGAGU